rnacentral:lncRNA from 1 species
UUUUUAAAAAGUUUUAUCUCAUUUUAAGUGAACUAGUUUAUAUAUAUUGUUUUAAUAUAAACAUUUUACAUAAGUUAUUGUAUAUUUUAUAAUAAUUAAUAAAUUGGUGUAGAUAUUAUCCAUAUAUAAGGUGAGGAUAUUGGUUGAUAAGUAUAUAGAAAUUGAGUUUUUACAUGUAGAACACAAUUUAUGUAGAAUGUGUCACUUUUACAUUAGUUUUACUAUAUGGGUAAAAAAAAAGUGUAAAAAUGGUUAAUAUAUCAAAACCUAAAACACGAGAAACAAGAAUUGAAGAGAAAAAUUGAAGUGCACAUAUGAUAUUAAAAUAGAUUUGAAACAAAGAUAUGUGUAGUGGAAGCUGUCAAAGUUGGAAAAAAGAGUAAUUUCAAUAAUGUGACACUAAUUUUUCACCAUUUUCAUCUCAAUAAGGACGAAAACCAAAUGUUGGAGACUCCACAUCGACUAAAAUUAGAGCAUUUCAUUGUAUAUAAAUGAGUGCAAAUCUCAACCUUAUAAGCUGGUUUUAUGGGGUUGAGUUAAAUUUAAAAUCCACUUUGUAAUACCAAAAAUAAAUAUGUUAUUUCUUCCAUAAUGAACCUUGUUUUUCAUUAAAAGAAUAACAAUUUUCUUGAAACGUUGUUUGUUGUCACGUAACAACAAAGUAAUUACAUCUGACACUCUUUGUAAUAAGCUUGAAGAUCCAUUGCACAAGCUCAUAUAAGGCAAAACUUACUACAAUCACAGUUUUUUCUUAACUCAUAAGAUUCAAAGCAAUUUGCAAGAGGACAAUGAAGUCUUAAGAUUUAAAAAAUGGUGAAUAAAAAAGAAAAACAACAGUUUUUUAUAAAGUGUUGAUUAUGGAUGUUGAAAAUUGUGUCUUUUCAAAGAUACACUAGAUCAAUCUACUUUUUCUUUUACUGUUUGGUUCAUACUUGUUGAAGAAAUUUUCUUCACCAAACAAGCUCAUAAAUAGUAUAUAUUUUGAUCAACUGUAGCCAAAAGUCAUUGUUGUUGAAUGGUCAAAACUGCACCGCAGACUUCGCGUAUAAGAAAUCUUCAUGCUGUUCUGCCAGAGAAGCUAGCCUCAUAGAUUGGUUUCUUUUCCAACAACAUAAUAAUACUUCAUGUCUCUGCCUUCAACCAACUCUCAUGCACAACUACUUCUCACACUGCAAGGGACAAAAAGUUUUACUAGCUUUUUACUCUUACUUCUUUUCAACAUUUCUCCUGUAGCACUGUUUUUCUUCUUCUAUGACUGCUAUUUUCCAAUUCAAUGCAUCAUAUAGUCUAAUUCCUCUAGUCAAACUGUCAGACUGUUAUGGAUAAUUCUCAAUGGAAUAGAAACUAAUUAUCAUGUAAUUGUUGAGUGUUUUGUAAUGUGUUUGUGGAAUUUUGGUUGUGUUAGGAGAUGGUUUGUGUGUAUUGUUUUGACUAAAGACCGGUUAUAAGGAUUCUGAUAGGGUAGAUGAUGAUUUUUGUUGAUUUGACUUUCAAUUGAGGAUUGGUUUGGUAGUUUGCAUGGUCUAAAGUAUGUUUGUGUGUCAAGUGGGCAAGUUGACCUUGGUUAUUUUCUGAAUAAGAAUUGAAACAUCUCUAAAGUAUCUGUAUAAGGGUUGAGACACCCUGAAGUGUCUCAUUUUAUUUUAUUUAUUUUUUGUUGAUAAAAAAAAUCAACUUGUUUUCUGAUAGAAUUAGUAUAGAACUGUUAAAUACAUAAAAAAAUGUGAAUGGUAGUGUGAGAUAUUCAAUAACAACACCAUAUGGAGGCAUAUACCAAAUUUUGUCUGCUAAUACAAAGUGAAUCAGAAGAAUGAAGGAAUAAAAAAAGUUCUCUGUUUACAAAGUUAUGGACUGAAGGGAGGAUAAGUGCAUGUAAAUUUGUGUGAAUCUUCUGAUAUCUCUGCUAAAUUCCUAUGAAUUGAAAAGAUAGAUACCAGAAGGGUUCUUGUAGGAACUAGAGAUUCAAUUAUAGUGUUGGCUAAUGGUAAAAUUGUACUAGAUGUCAUUUCAAUGCUACCAAAGUGAACAGAAUGAAAUUGAUUGAAAGUGAUCUUGAUGUUACAAAAUUUAUAUGAAACCAUUCAACAAGGGUGAGGUCUGUAGUCAUGCUCAAUUAUGGGUGUGGUUCGAGUGCCAUGUGCAGUAGGAGCUCUCACAUGUCCAACCAUUGACACCUGAAGGGCUUCUUCUUCAUAGGCCCUUCUCUCCAUCUCCACCAUCCUUGAUCUCUUCUUCACCCUAACUAGCAUGGCCACAAGAAGAAGGCCUAAGAGAAAAGCUCCCAAAGCAGCACCAAUGGUACUCCCAACAGCCACUUUCCACCUACUUAUAGGCCUGUUCCUGAACUCAUCUGGUGGGGACUCCACAACCAAACCAAAAUGGCCAUGCCUCUUUGCAACACAAACAAGUGGUGUUGAAGGGUUGCCCUUUGCUAGUGUCAUUCUUCCAUCACCUUCAAAGCUAGCACACAAGGGCUUCAUCCCAUCUUCCUUGCUCAACUUUGUGGUGUUUGUGAAGUCAAUUGUCAUUGCUCUUUCUCCAGCCACAAUCCCAAGUUGGAAAGGGUUGCUUGAGUUUGCAUCAUCAUCAGCAUUGUAGGCCAGAAGCCCCACAAUUGGAGACACAAGCUGGUACCCUGAUAGAUCAUAGUUAGCAUAAUAGAUAGAAGACCAAUUGUGGCCCAUGUUUUGUCUGAUCAACAUCACCCUCUCAAUACAUGGAUGAACAGUUACACCAGUACCAAGAUGGAAUUCCUUCAACUCUGCACCAUACCUUCUCAAACUUCCACACCUAAACCUCACAGCAUCAACUCCAAUGCCUGAAAGAUUUGCAGGUAAGUCCACUGACUGUGGUAUUGCUGUCCUCAAGUUCUUGUCCAAUAGUACCUUGAACGUGUGAUCUCUUAUGAUGAGGUCAAGAACAUGAGCUGACUUCACACUCUGACCCUCAGAUCCCGAAAAUGUAAAAGACACCCAGGAAAAUGUCAUCAAAAACAGACCAAAAGCAGAGUCCAUGAGAGAAAAAAUCCUAGAAUAUUGUUCCCAAGGUAACAACAGUCCUUGUUCUGUUGCAAUCCUUGAAAUUGUGGUCAGUUUGGUCACAAUCUUUGCUAUUGCAAUGAAAUUGCAGACAAAUGUGGUGCUGCUAUCACAAUUGUCGUGACCAGAUCCUAAAACCUUGAAAUUAUUUUGAAAAACUCGAUUAUUAUAGCACUAACAAUGUGUCUAGGUGAACCCCUUUUGGCUGGUAUUCUCUAGCUACAACACCAAAAGUAAAAAGCACUGAUAUUUGUUUUUCUCCUAAGGAAAGACCAUGUUUUUUUUUUCCUGUGGAAUGAGUUCCAAAGAAUAAAGAUUGUGGAGUGGUAAUAGAUGAGAAGGAUAAUAAGGGUAGUAGCAGUAGUAGACACCAGAUGAAGGAAAUGGAAAAGGGUAAAGCAGAAAAGUACUUGUUCUUGGAGAUGUUCCCUCAACAGAACUCAGACAUGGUGUUGUUGAAGUGAUGUAAGUGGCACAGUGAAAUUGAAUGAGAAUAAAAAUGUAGAGAUUUAUUGAAGGCAAAGAAGAAUGGGAGAAAAGUGGUGUUGGAGAUCCAUGUAUGAAUGUGGCAUUGAGAAGAAAGAAAAGGGUAAGAAGAAAUGAUUCUUGGGCGUGGAAUGAUGAUGACAGUUCAUGGUGAAAUAAGAAAAAUGGGAAAAGAAAUGAAGGGGUUGGGGAGAGGGGUUUAAGCGUGCUGAGAAAUGAAACUAAAGCAUCGUUGUUGUGCAUGGGGUCCAAUAACACUGAUUGUGUUGGCUGUAACAUGCCAUGUUCCCCACUUGUUGCACUCAAUGCCUCUAAUGUUAGGCUUAGCACACACAUGAACAUCACCUUUCCAAACUCAAAAAUCCAAACCCCUUUUCCAUUUUUAUCUUUAAAUUUCGAAACCAUAUUAAAAAGGCUCAAUCUUUUCAAAACUAGUAUUAAUAGUUAUAAAACUAAGAUUUGUAUCUAAUUAUAUAUAAAGUAUUUUUUAUUCGUAAUUCACGUGAGAUUUUCAAUACAAAAUAUUAUAUGAUUGGAUGAUUAACAAGUUAAUUUAAUCAAACCAUGAUUUGGAGGAGCAAUUCAGCCAUCACUGAUUCCUGCAUUACUGAUACAGACCAUUACUUUUCUCGUCCCAUCAUUACAGACUCAGAACACUUGAUUAGUAUCAACAAGAUCACAUUUAAGAAAAUGAGGUUUUUAAUACUAAUUUAUCUUGGUAAAUACGUCUGGUCAAUAGCUGUUUUUAAGAAAGAUUUAAAUUGAAUAAUGUCCGAAUGAUUUGAUCUGAAUUGAGCUCAUUAAAAUUUAUCUUGUAUAAAAAAUAAUUAAUAUCAUUAAUGAAUAUUUUCUUUUUAAUAUAAUUUUGAUUUAAUAUACAAUUUAUCAUAUGAUUAAGAUGGCUUCAGUUUUGUUGUAAAGUUUUUAAAAUUGUUAAUUAAUAAAAAAAGGAGGAUUACGAGGGCGUAAGCCCCGUUCGGUUAGUCAAGUUGACCAUGUGAAUGACUGUGAAUCGGCCAAAUUCUCAGGUGGGAAUUGCAUAGGCUCCACACGUGUCUCAGCCCCAAAUCCCAACUCUAAGAUACCCAUUACAGGGCCUGCAUUGCUGCAGAGAAGGCCCGGGGACUUUCCUGAGCCCAGCAAUUAGCAUGGGCCCAAUCACAUCGCCUCAUAAUCCAGUGGUAACACUUAGCGUAGUCAGAUGGUAUAUAAAGAUGUUUAAAGUCACACUUUCUAUCGAUGUGGGACAUUUUCAAUGCACUUCUAAAGAGAGAUUAAAUAAUUUAAGCAAUCUUUCGAGUGAUGAUAUUUUGACACCAACUCCACUUUACGUUCACAACAAAAUAUUAAUAUUUAUAAUAACAAAAAUUUAAAAAUAUAAAAAUCUUUUCAAUAAAAAUAUAAAAAAAAUAAAAAAUAUUAAAAUAAUUUUUAAAAUUAAAAAAUUAUAAAUAUUAAAAUAUUAAUAUUUAAUAAGAUGUUGGGUGAAACAUGUGUCAAAUUUUUUCUUCUUCUUUUUAACCUUUAUUCUAAUAUCUACACGAAGUAUCUAGUUGAAUUGUCCACGUCUCAUUUACACACUUUUCUUUUAGUUUUUUUUAUAUACUUCAUGUUAAACAUCACUACUAUUAGAUAAACAAAAAAUAUUUAAAGAAAAAAGAAAAAGUAAGAGGACUAAAGAAAACUUAUAAUACGAAAGAACUUUAGAAUUUGAAGGUGCUGAAGUGCGAUUGCAAAAUCUAUAUUGUAAUUGCAAGAUCUAUAUGGAAUUUAAUUAAUUGCAUGAUGUUCUUGAAGUUGUCCGGUUGUUGCACUACGGAGAUAGAUCUAUAACAUUUUAAAUUUACUAUAAUAUAUACUAUAAUUAUAAAUCUAGUUUUAAUAUAAAUAAAAAUAUUAAUUAUAAGAUAUUUUUCAAAUGAAAAAAAAUUAUUUAAUAUAAAAAAAUAAACUUAAAAUUGAUUUUAGUUUUUGAAGUUUAAAACACAUAUGCAUAAUUUAACCCUCAACUAUUAUGGGUGGAAUUAUAUUUUAGACAUACCAGAAUAAUUCAAAGAUUAAGAAAGAAAGGUGUAUUUAAAAUGUCAUUAAUAUCAACAGCUAAACAAUGUGGGACUAUAUUGAUUAUACCGAAAGACUCCUUUAAUAUGAGAAAUCAUAAACACAUGUAGAUAACUCAAAAUCCCAAAAACCACAAAUAUAUUUUUCAGCAGAAGUAAUAAAGUGGAAAACCAAUUACCAUGAAGAGAGAAGACAUUAAUAUCUUAAGAGGUAACACAAUGUAGAAGAGAGGGGAGGAUCCUUAGUUAUAAGGAGAGAGUGAGAAAUUUCUUCUCUUUUAGUAGGUUUGGUAAGUUUAAAUAGAAACAAAUUUUAAAGAACAAAAAUAACUAAUUACUAUAUUCACUAAAUUAAAUGUUAUUUUAAAGACUAGAACAAAUUAUUGGUAUCUAAAUUAUUUUUUAUUAUUGAUAAAUAGUUUUUAAAUUUGUAUCUAAUUAGCUACCAAAGUUUUAGAUAUCAACUUUUGAAUCAAAAUAACUGGUAGCUAAAACCUAUAUAGCUAAUUGGAUAUUAAUUUAAAAAUUAUUUAUCAAUAAUAAAAAUUAAUUUAGAUACCAAUAAUUUUUUUAGUCUUUAAAAUAAUAUCUAACUUAGUCAAUAUAACAACUAAUUAUUUUUAUCAUUUAAAAUUAAUGUUUUUAUUAAUAAUUUUUUAGUAAUGAUAAGUUUUUCUUUUAUAUAAAAGCUUGUUAGACAUCAUUAUGCAAUUUGACAUCUUAGUUAAACUCACCUCAAGUAAUAACAAUCAUCUGCCAUCACAUGAAAAAAAAAUAUAUUAUUAUUACAAAAAAGAAAAUACAAAAGUAUGAAGUAAUGAUAAAUUAACUAAUAACUUUUCUAACUAAUUUGACCUUGAUUAUUUCAUUUAUGCUUGAAAAUAUUUUUCACUUGAAAAAUGUGACCUCGUCAAGUCUUGGAUUAUCUAUAGAAAAAGACAUAUAUUUUGACAUUUUAAUUAAUCUUUUAAUUCCUUGAUUAAGUAAUUUAUAUAUUUUAAUUAAAUUAUUUUAUUAAUAUAAGCAUGAGAAGGUUUAAUAAGUUCCUAAAUACUAAUUAUGGUUUAAUAUUUAUUUAUAUGUGAAGGUUUAGAUUCUUAAAUUGUUUAUUUCUAUUCUUUCAACAAGUUAACCUAAAUAUACAAAUAAAACCCACUUGUGUAAAAUUUACAUUAAAUAGAAUUUAAAUUUCUAUAAAAAAAAAUUACCAAUCUAAUUUAUUUAUAAAGAAUAGUAUAAAAUAAGUUUUUCCAUGAAAUUAUAAAUUCUCAAGACAUAUAUAUUUUAUAAAAAAAGGAGGAUUACGAGGACGUAAGCCCCGUUCAGUUAGUCAAAGCUGACCAUGUGAAUGACUGUAAGAUCGGCCAAAUUCUCAGGUUGGAAUUGCAUAGGCUCCACACGUGUCUCAGCCGCAAAUCCCAACUCAAAGAUACCCAUUACAGGGCCUGCAUUUCUGCAGAGGAGGCCCGGGGACUUUCCUGAGCCCAGCAAUUAGCAUGGGCCCAAUCACAUCGCCUCAUAAUCCAGUGGU